GAAGAAAAAAGACCAUUUGGUCAUAUGUUGAAAGAUUCCUGUGGACCUUGUUUCAUUGGGCCCUUGAACCAUGGGAAAGGAUGGUCUCCCAACAGACAUUCUCAGAUGUACAUUCAUAUGUAAGUCCCAGAUUCUGCUCUGCUCCUUAAUCCAGCUCCAGAAGGCUGUAAACUUCUAGUGUAGAAUAUAAUGAAGAGAGAAUCUACCUCAUGGUGUUGGACACUUUUGACAUCCCUGGCCUGUAAUACAUUCUCAAUAAAUGUUGGCUGUUACGAUGAUGUCCCAGGUGAAGAGUCUGAUGAAGAAAAGCCAGGGCUCUCAAGGAGGCAGCACUUUCAAGUCAGUGGAAGAUGUGAAUGACCACAAGGACAGCCUCUGAGGUAGAAACUGUUAGCAGAUGUGUACCUCCACUGGAUAAAUGGUUCUCAUUUGCAUCGUGUCCUAACAGGAUCAUGAGAUUCCUGGAAAGAUAACUUGCUAAAGAUACUUUGGACUUGGCUUUACUACCUAGGUAAGUCUGGCCAGCAUUCUAAUCCUGACUAGACCCAGU